AUUAUUUUAUUUUAUUCUAUUGUAUAUAGUAUUUUAUUUUAUUCUAUUCUAUUCUGUACAGUUUUGUACAGUAUGUUACUCUUAUUCUAUUCCAGUGUUCUCUAAUUUUUGCUAUAUAAUUUUGCACUGUCCACUUUCUGCUGUAACAAAACAAAUUUCCUACGUGUGGGACUAAUAAAGGUUAUCUUAUCUUAUCUUAAAGGCCGGUCCGUGAAAAUAUUGUCGGACAUAAACCAGUUCAUGGUGCAAAAAACGGUUGGGGACCGCUGGUAUAGAUGAUAUCUAAGUAACAACCAGUACUUGUCCAUCUGACAGUGCAGCUAUGAUCUGAUGACAGCUCACUAAAAAGACUUUUCAUUAGACCAACUCAUACAGUCCACAACAGGCGCUGAUCACCUAUUAUAAUAGGAAUAUAAUAUAAUAUAAUAGGAGUACUUAGCAGAAAAAGUGCUGUCUCCUAUCCUGCAAACACAGCAUCGUGAAGAAGAAGAGGAAGUCCGUUGGACAGUGCAGUUACUAUCUCAGAUUUACAGUAUUCAAGAGCUGUCUCAUUAGCAAUAACAAUGUAUGGUCAGAAGGAUUUUGUCAUGGCCUGGGUCUAGGGACCCAGGGCUCAUGUAUGUUUAGUGUAUGUUUAUGUUUAUAUUUUCCGUGUGGUGUUUGGUUUGCUCUCCUUUUUCUCCAUGUUUCUCCGUGUGAGCUUCCGGAGGUUUUGGUUCGCUGAGGAGACUGCGAACCCGGAAGUGUUUCUGCUCCAGAGACAGCCACACCUGCCGCUCGUCGUCCUCUGCCAGCUGCAGUAGAUUACGCUCGUCGAGGGAGCGGCAUUUAAGACUGUAGCUGAGCUGAGGCCGACGCUGGAUCCUUGAGUCAGAACUCGAAUCUGGAGCGGAGUGUGCUUUGAGGUCACGGUGUGGGAAUAGGAGUUUUUUGGAGUCACCACUUUUCACUUUUCACGGACAUCUGCACUGUGUGGGAUUCAGGGAGAAUCGCCACGGGACCACAGUGCCUGGAUUUUGUAUAUAGUUGUGUGUUUUCCACCCCCUGUAAAUAAAUCCACUGUCCUUCACUA